CCAGAGAGUUUCGGCUUGAAAGAAUCAAGAAGAAAACAAAGCAGGUUUCUCGCUUCCUCCUUGUGGCCUGAUGCUUCUUGGCCUCUUGACGCGUGGCACGUCCAUCUUUUACGCAGCGCAUCUGUACAGCUGUUCAAUUGAAUAAUCCCUCUGGCCUUUGAUACAUUUCUGGACAUGAUUAUUUCAUUACUCGCAGUAUAUCAGUGGGAUCAUAAUAAAAAAGGACUUCUGACAACCUGCCAAGAGUUUUGUGGCCUUGUAAACACAAAAGUGCUCUAAUAAAAUUUUAUUAAGUGUUAAAAAGUCAUAAAAAGUGAAAUAACAUAAACUACAAAAUUUACUGUCCUCAGCAAAUGCUGAAAAUAUCGUCCAUAGUAAAAUUAAAUUAGCAUGUAAUAGAGAGAAAAAGAAAGAGAAAGAGAGGGAGGGAGGGAGAAGGAGAGGCAGUGCUGAGUGAGGUUGCAAAGAUCCUGGGGGGGUGCAAUAUAAUCACAUUGGCACUAAUAAGGGGUCACGGGAAUUUAGCUGAUGGAGAUCCUUCCCUUAAUUGUAUUCUAUCGGGAACAGCAAUUUUGACUAAAUAUGCAGGUUAAGGACCAGGGUUCUAAGGUCACUCGUGUUCCUGAAGCUGUCGAUACUUCCUUGGCAAGCUGUAAUAUAUGAACAGGCACCACCGGCGAAGGAUGGGCGAGGGGCGCACCGGCUUGCCGCCCCCCGGCCGUCCACUAGGGUGCGCUGCGCGACUAAGAAUACCGGCACUCGGCUGAGCCCCGGGACCGCAUCGAUUCAGUGCCGAAAAUAAUCCCUAUCCAUCAAAAAAGAGGUCGCCGCUUCUCCCCCCCCCCGCCCGUCCAAAGAAAUUGUAUUUAUAUUGUGCGCGCGCGCGCGUCUUCUUUUGCAAACAUAGAUCUUUUUUUAAAAAAAUGAAGCUCAGGAAACAAUGCAAUGGUAUGCACAGCCUCUUUCUUCUGGGAAAACGCGUGCAGAGACCAAAUCUCCCCCCCCACACACUUGCACUGGGUGGCUGCUGCUGCUGCGGGUGCUGCCUUUUCCCUUCUGGCUCCUUCCAUCACUUGAACUCCUACGGUCAAGGGAGAGGCGAGGGGGAUUCCUUCCUUCUCUCCCUCCUUUCCCCAAAUGCACACACCCUGGCUUCCUCCUUGCCAAAAGGGUCUGGGGGAAAUCCACUGCCUUGGGCUUGCCUAGAACUCAGCGCACCGACGGCGGGGAUCAUCUCGGCCAAGGCCGUUUCGGGAUGGCUUUCGCUUUGGCUCCUGAUCUGAUCUGGGCACUGGGUGCGAGUGUAUUACAAAUACACGAAGAUCAAAAGUACAGUUGACUGUGGAGUACAGUAGUAAUGCAAAUCCAGUACAGAACUUAAAAGAAGUAACCAACUUCGUCAAGAAGAGAAGCAGCUUGCUCCCCUACUACAGGAUGUAAACUCAUAAAUAUUUUCUGGCAGAGCUGAAAACAGGUUGCUAUUGUGUCUGCAAGCUGCUCCUUCAAUUGAGCACUAGGCUUGGGGCUCUUAGCAAUAAACAAAAUCCUUUAAAUAAAAUCA
ensembl:lncRNA